UCGGUUUUCGGUUUCGGACCGGCCGAAACCGAACCGAAAACCGAAUACCCUUAAAACGAAGUCGUUUUGUAUAUGUAUAAAUAUAAUGCGGAAACCCUAAAAACCUAAAAGCCUCAAUCCGCCUCUCUCGUCUCAGUCCCUCUCUCUCACUCUCUCAGUCUCUCUGUCCCGAACGAGCUUCGAACUCAGCCCCUACCCCCGACCUCUCCCUCUCCCUCUCUCUCUGACCCCUGUUAGGCUAACAGCCUCACGUACUCAUCCGCUUUCCUUCUUUCAGUCUCUGAAAGCUGCUGGAGCUCCAACCGUCUGCCGCCAAUCGAUUUCGAAGCAAAGCUCUGACCUUUCUCUCGAUCUGAGCUUGACAGCUUGGUAAUCAAAUCAACACAUCUGGACGAUCUCGUCAUCUCCCUCGCACCUUCGCCGGAAUUCUUCGGCUAUUGCCG